AACGAACGCUGGCGGCAGGCUUAACACAUGCAAGUCGAGCGCCCCGCAAGGGGAGCGGCAGACGGGUGAGUAACGCGUGGGAAUCUACCCAUCUCUACGGAAUAACGCAUGGAAACGUGUGCUAAUACCGUAUACGUCCUUCGGGAGAAAGAUUUAUCGGAGAUGGAUGAGCCCGCGUUGGAUUAGCUAGUUGGUGGGGUAAAGGACUACCAAGGCUAUGACGCUUAGGGGAGGUGAGAGCCUGGCCCCCACCGAUGUGACUGAGACCCGGCCCAUACACCUACGGGUGGCUGCAGUCGAGAAUCUUCCGCAAUGGACGAAAGUCUGACGGAGCGACGCCGCGUGAAUGAUGAAGUCCUUCGGGAUGUAAAAUUCUUUUAUAGAGGAGAAAGUUUAUUGAUCUCUCUGUGAAUAAGAGGUGGCUAAACUCGUGCCAGCAGCCGCGGUAACAC
rnacentral:rRNA from 1 species